UGAAGGAGCAGGAUCUGCUGAAGGGCAACCAGUGCAUUUUCCUGAGCCAAACUAGCCAUUUGAAUACCGGUGGAACUAGCUGGGUUGGAUAUCCCUACUGGUCCCAUGAGAAUCCAUGAAAGAAAUGAGUCCUGUUUGCCUGCUCCCUGCUCUGCUGCAACUAAGCCUCGUUGCAUCAAAAUGUCUCAAAAUUCCACAUCAGAGGGUCAAAGCUGUCCCUACUGUUGUCUUGCCUGGCUGGCCCCAAUCUAGUUCACCUAAGCUCCACCUUCAGCGAUCAGAACCCAUAGUGCUCUUUGUGGGACCUGGACCCCAAGGAAGAAGAAUGUGUGUCCCUGCACAUUCACAUGACUGUAUUUGUGUGUGUUGGGAAGGUUAGUAUGAAGUUGAAUGUGAUGCCCCCAAGAGGUAAGUCAACUGAGGAAGGAACAGCACCUCCUCUGACCACUCUUGGAUACUGUUGGACCGAUCAGGACAACACCUGUGGCUGCAAUGAGCCUGAAGUCAGUCCCUAUGUACUGGGUAACAGUAUAUAGGUCAA
rnacentral:lncRNA from 1 species